CAUAUUUUUAGGAAAUUUGGCAACGUCCGAAGGCUCAUAUGGCGUUUUUCCUUAGCACAGGCAAAUUAAAGUGGCUGCAUGUUCUUUUCGGAGGUGAUUUUUAAAAGGUGGCAACACUGAAUGUGAAAAUAUCGAUAUCAAUAGAUUCUAGAUGAGAUAACAACUAAAUUUGUCAGCUUUAUGCUCAAAUUAAGUUGUUACUCUCUUAUCUGCUUUUGCUGAUUAACUUGUUCUUCAUUCUAUAUGAGACGAUCAGCCUACUCUGGAAUUGAACUUUUCAGCUUUUCGAGAAACUAGAAUUUCAGCUUUUUCUAUGCUCUGCUAACUCCGCCGUGAUUGCGAAGAGAGCAGUAAGUGCAUUUCUGCAUGAGCCAUGGUUAGCACAUGCUUUUAUGUGUCUCGAUUUUCAUCGCAGCAUGCACUUACUACUCUCUUCGCUAUCACGGCAGAACUGGAACAGGAAAGAACAGGAGAAUGCUUAGGGCAUACAUUUCGGAACUUUCGUUCAAUCGUCUCUUCAAGGUGAAAAAGAUUUGGCAUCAAUAUAAGUGGAGUUCCAGAGGUGCCGGAACUAGUACCGCGACGAGGGCAGUGCCUCGUUAGGGAAUCAGGCUUUGAGAUGCGUGGAUGUCAGAUUGAACACUAAUACAUCAGUUUUCAUUCAAAAUAUUGCUGCUUUCAAAAAUCACCCUUCUCAUGGGUCGAGAUGACAGUGCAAGGUAUGAGCAUGGCGUUCAGAGAUGUCAAUGUCUGACAAGAUUGCAGACUGCACUGCCCCGGCAAGGAUUUGUGCCAGCUCAUCGUUGCUUUUACAACGUCUUCGGAAUCAUAACAAGAAUAAGGCAAUCUUGGACAUUGGCAACGUUGAUGCAUAAUUAUUCUUGGCACCACUCCCCUCGUUCCCCAGAGAUUUAUGAAAAUAAAUAUUGUCUCUCCACCCAUAGA
rnacentral:lncRNA from 1 species